AAAAAAGACAAAAGAAUAACAAUUAUUUUGCUACUCAUCAUUAUAUCCACAUUAUUAUUAUUAUAUAUUUAUACACAUGCAUACAUAGAGAGAAACAUUCAACCUCGACCCGUGACUCUCAACAACACAGCUCUCACAAGAUUAUAUUUCUUCUUAAUUCACGUGAAACAUCUAAAUCUUCACAAAAACACAAAAAUCCAAGCUUUUCCCCUCUUAUAAAUCACCCCUUCACCCCUUUACCAUCUUCACACAACUUCUCAAACCAAAUUUACCUUCAAACAUUUAAUUUCCAAUUGCAUUCAAUGGCCCCCAGCAAGCUUCAUCUCCUCUUGCCCCUCCUUGUUCUUCUUCUACCUGCCGCUGUUACCGCUUAUCCACUCUGUAAGAUUGACACCUCUGAUCUCAAGCUUUGCCGCUCGGCUGUGACCCCACCGGACCAUGGCCAGCCUUUGCCACUCCCCACUGAAGACUGCUGUUCAGUGGUUCGUCAUGCUGACCUUAAGUGCCUUUGCAAUCUCAAGUCCGUCCUCCCCUCCAUGGGGAUUGACACUGCCAAUGCCUUGGCUUUGCCAUCCAAAUGUAACGUAGCAUCCCCACCCGAGUGCCAUUCCUAAACCUUGUUUGAUUUUAUGAAUGGGUAGGUCUUGUGUUGGAAAAAUCAAGUGCACGGAGUCGAUGUUUUGAUAUGGGCAUAUUGUGUGUAAUGUAUUGAUUUUAGGAAGUGUGUAGUAAGUUUUUAUUUCGAGUACUCUCUUUUAAUUUUUGUAAUGUAUUAUGCCCAUACAUUUGUUCUGAGAGUGAUAAUAUAUAUUUACUCUUUCCCCUUUGGUUGCUUGAACAUUAAAAGCCCAAAGUCUUUUAAAUGCGUUUAUGUUUAUGUGUAUGCUUUAAUUUUAGUCUCUUUGUGAAGAUUGAAGAAUCUUUUUGUACCUCUAAUAAUAUUCUAUAUCAGUUUUGCUUUUUACUUGUUAAA